AAUGAACGUUGGCGGCGUGGAUUAGGCAUGCAAGUCGAGCGGGAGUAGCAAUACUCCAGCGGCGAAAGGGACAGUAAUGUGUGGGUUAUCUACCCUCGGGUUCGGGAUAGCUGCGGGAAACUGCAGGUAAUACCGAAUAACAUCUCCGGAUCAAAGGUGUGAUUCCGCUCGUGGAGGAGCCCGCAUCCUAUGAGGUAGUUGGUAGGGUAACGGCCUACCAAGGCAAUGAUGGGUAGCAGGUGUGAGAGCACGACCUGCGUCAUUGGGACUGAGACACUGCCCAGACACCUACGGGUGGCUGCAGUCGAGAAUCUUCGGCAAUGGGCGCAAGCCUGACCGAGCGACGCCGCGUGCGGGAUGAAGGCCUUCGGGUUGUAAACCGCUGUCAGUGGGGAGGAAAUGCUGGUGGGUACUCCCAUCAGUUUGACCUAUCCGCAGAGGAAGGACGGGCUAAGUUCGUGCCAGCCGCCGCGGUAAUAC
rnacentral:rRNA from 1 species